rnacentral:rRNA from 1 species
ACAUGCAAGUCGUACGCACUGGCCCAACUGAUUGAUGGUGCUUGCACCUGAUUGACGAUGGAUCACCAGUGAGUGGCGGACGGGUGAGUAACACGUAGGUAACCUGCCCCGGAGCGGGGGAUAACAUUUGGAAACAGAUGCUAAUACCGCAUAACAACAAAAGCCACAUGGCUUUUGUUUGAAAGAUGGCUUUGGCUAUCACUCUGGGAUGGACCUGCGGUGCAUUAGCUAGUUGGUAAGGUAACGGCUUACCAAGGCGAUGAUGCAUAGCCGAGUUGAGAGACUGAUCGGCCACAAUGGAACUGAGACACGGUCCAUACUCCUACGGGAGGCAGCAGUAGGGAAUCUUCCACAAUGGGCGCAAGCCUGAUGGAGCAACACCGCGUGAGUGAAGAAGGGUUUCGGCUCGUAAAGCUCUGUUGUUGGAGAAGAACGUGCGUGAGAGUAACUGUUCACGCAGUGACGGUAUCCAACCAGAAAGUCACGGCUAACUACGUGCCAGCAGCCGCGGUAAUACGUAGGUGGCAAGCGUUAUCCGGAUUUAUUGGGCGUAAAGCGAGCGCAGGCGGUUGCUUAGGUCUGAUGUGAAAGCCUUCGGGCUUUAACCGAAGAAGUGCAUCGGAAACCGGGCGACUUGAGUGCAGAAGAGGACAGUGGAACUCCAUGUGUAGCGGUGGAAUGCGUAGAUAUAUGGAAGAACACCAGUGGCGAAGGCGGCUUGUCUGGUCUGCAACUGACGCUUGAGGCUCGAAAGCAUGGGUAGCGAACAGGAUUAGAUACCCUGGUAGUCCAUGCCGUAAACGAUGAGUGCUAGGUGUUGGAGGGUUUCCGCCCUUCAGUGCCGGAGCUAACGCAUUAAGCACUCCGCCUGGGGAGUACGACCGCAAGGUUGAAACUCAAAGGAAUUGACGGGGGCCCGCACAAGCGGUGGAGCAUGUGGUUUAAUUCGAAGCUACGCGAAGAACCUUACCAGGUCUUGACAUCUUGCGCUAACCUUAGAGAUAAGGCGUUCCCUUCGGGGACGCAAUGACAGGUGGUGCAUGGUCGUCGUCAGCUCGUGUCGUGAGAUGUUGGGUUAAGUCCCGCAACGAGCGCAACCCUUGUUACUAGUUGCCAGCAUUAAGUUGGGCACUCUAGUGAGACUGCCGGUGACAAACCGGAGGAAGGUGGGGACGACGUCAGAUCAUCAUGCCCCUUAUGACCUGGGCUACACACGUGCUACAAUGGACGGUACAACGAGUCGCAAGCUCGCGAGAGUAAGCUAAUCUCUUAAAGCCGUUCUCAGUUCGGACUGUAGGCUGCAACUCGCCUACACGAAGUCGGAAUCGCUAGUAAUCGCGGAUCAGCAUGCCGCGGUGAAUACGUUCCCGGGCCUUGUACACACCGCCCGUCACACCAUGGGAGUUUGUAACGCCCAAAGUCGGUGGCCUAACCUUUAUGGAGGGAGC